rnacentral:rRNA from 1 species
UGAGGAAUAUUGGACAAUGGAUGGAAAUCUGAUCCAGCCAUGCCGCGUGCAGGAAGACGGCCCUAUGGGUUGUAAACUGCUUUUGUAUGGGAGCAAUAAGGACUACGUGUAGUUUGAUGAGAGUACCAUACGAAUAAGCAUCGGCUAACUCCGUGCCAGCAGCCGCGGUAAUACGGAGGAUGCGAGCGUUAUCCGGAUUUAUUGGGUUUAAAGGGUGCGUAGGCGGCGAUAUAAGUCAGUGGUGAAAUAUUUCGGCUUAACCGAGAGACUGCCAUUGAUACUGUGUUGCUAGAAUAUGGUUGCUGUGAGUGGAAUGUGUGGUGUAGCGGUGAAAUGCUUAGAUAUCACACAGAAUAUCGAUUGCGAAGGCAGCUCACAAAGCCAUUAUUGACGCUGAGGCACGAAAGUGUGGGGAUCAACCA